GCGGCCAUCGUUCUAAACCCGGAGUCACUCCGGAUCGGGGUCGCCGGGUCGGGUGAUGUAGCUCUAGCCUUAGGAUGACUCUAGAUUGGGAUGAGAGUCCCCCGAUUGGCGUGGCUGUGGCUCUGGUUCUGGUGUGACUCCGGAUCGAGGUCCCCAGGCUGGGCUGCCUAUGGCUCUAACCCUGGGGUGACUCCGGAUCAGGACCGGAGUCCCCCGAUUGGCGUGGCUGUGGCUCUGGUCUCCGCAUGACUCCGGAUCGGGGUCCCCAGGCUGGGCUGUCACUGGCUCUAACCCCGGGGUGACUCCGGAUCAGGAUUGGAGUCCCCCGAUUGGCGUGGCUGUGGCUCUGGUCCCCGCAUGAGUCUGGAUUGGGGUCCGCAGGCCGGGCUGGCCAUGGUUUGACUCCGGAUCAGAUCAGAAUCAGGGUCCCAGAUUGGCGUGGCUGUGGCCCAGGAGUGACUCCGGAUCAGGCCCCCUAGGCUGGCACUUCCUAAGUAGCUGGUUGCUCGCCGGCCCCUUAAGACCUUCAUGCGAUCCCCUCUGGCCGGGCGCCAGGCCCAGGCGGCCCCUGCCAGGGAAGGGAGAAGCAAAGCUGGGGGCCGGGGCGAUCUGUGGGUGCUGUUUGCGUGGGUGAAAAAGGUGUUGCCUGGAGGAUCCUGCUGGGGUAAGGCCAGCGCCUGGGCAGGCAAACGCAGCCCCUGUCCCCAAGGAGCCACUCUGCCUCCUCCCGGGAGCCGUCCCAUUGCCAUCCAGGGGCACCCGCUCCUGUGAGCAAGGCAUUGCAGCCCCAGGCGCUCCCUCAGGCAAGUGCAUCAGCCAGCCUUUAGCCUCCAGGCCUUCUCCGUUCCCAGUGUCGUGCCUUUGGCAAUACAGGCAGCCUGGGCUCCUGAGAAACUCCCCCUCGGUGUCUGUUGGCAUCUUCAGGCACUCCGGUCCCUUUGAAAAGCUGCUUUUCACUCCCUGGGAUGUAGUUGUUAAAUGGGGAUCAUGCUGCUGAUUCCCCCCUGCCCUAAACUGCUUUGAAAUCGUGGCACGAACAGCACUACAUCGCAAGCAGAGAGUAUUAUCUCUUCGUCCUCGGGGGCCUGCGGAGCAGGAGACCGUCUCUGCGGGUAGUUAGCUACCGAGAGCAGGACCGCGAGGAACCAGCAGUGAACUUUGUGCCUGUGUUUGUCACAGCCUCCGCCAUCCGAGGGAUGCGUUUGCCCCUGGAUGUUUAUAAUGGAUGGCAACAUGAAUUAUGCACGGGCAUCCAGAGAGCAGACUCAGGCGUCUGCAUGUCUUCCCUGGCUGCAGUAACUUGGUGUUUCAGCCACGGCAACAGACUAUAUUUUAUUAAUGAAAGCAUCUAGUGCAUGGGAGAUGAUGACAACACCCAGAGCACAGCCAUGGCACAGAGCCCCCAGCAACCCACGUCGGGUCACACACCAGCUCUGCCCACCUAGUGCGUGCAGGGUCAGGGGGCUCGCUUGUCAGAGCUCCUAGUACAACGGGACUCAAUGCUCUUGUGCCUUUUCUUUUCCUUGGGCCUUGGUCUUUUCCAGGCUCGUUUCACAGUCACCUUAAUAUGCAGUUAACUUCCCAGCAUUGACCGGGUUGUAGGUAUCCUUCACAUCCAGCCCUUGGAGCACACCAAAGAAGAGAAGGACUCUACCGCAUUAACCUCUACCUGCGUCUUGUUAGCUCUUGAUCAUCGAUUUCCUAUUUAUGCAGCUGAAAGAAGACAAAGACACCUGAUCAAGCAAAACGCUGUCCUUUUACCGGCAUUUAUUAAUGGAACAGUGGGAGGCAAAGCACAUUUUUGCUGAGGGGGUUGAUUCCUUGCUGCAGUGGGCUGGUUUUGAUUUUGUGGUUGGUGUUUUUUUUUCCCUUUGCUUGCUGUCUACGCAUUUGUUUGCUGCAGGGCAUGAGGACAGUCUUAAAUAUUUGUUGUCAGGACAGGAGAUGAGCACUGCUGCUUGGUGCUUGCCAGGUGAAUUAUCCUCUCCUGCACCCCUGAGUCAGCACCUUAGCGAGCUAAUUUAAUUCCCAAAUAUUUGGAGGCUGAAGAUCACGAGGUGCCUGCUGGGCCCAGGGUGCAGGGAGCCUGACUAAAGCUCUUCUGCUGAAUCCAGGAGAAGGGUAUCUAUUGUGUUCCCACUUGCCUCUAAUAGGUGUAUUUUUGAGGGGGUGGAGGGUGGAGAGCACUUGCAGGAUGCACUUGUGCAGGAGGAAACAUUCAUUUAAUGCUGGGGUUUGCAACCUCUGGCCGGUGGGCCAGAUCCAGCUUGUGAAGCCAGUUUAUCCAACCCGCAGAGUCGGUGGACUUUGAUGUUUCAGUGGCAGGGGGCUUCAGCAAUGUUCCAGCAGUGGCGGAGCAUGGCCCACUUUGCACCCGAGCUGUGUUGUCUCAGCUUCAGUUUGUUAUAUGGGUAUCAACCACUGACCUCAUGAAAGCGGAUUUCAGGUCUGCAGAGGGAGCCUAUGGGGAACUAGCCUCACUUCAUUUUGGGGCUUAGCAGAAUGAUUACUGAAAGUUGGACUCUAAACCCGCGUCCCGCGGAUGUCUCCAUUCAAGACAGCUUCCCUCUUGCUCCUCCGUCCGACUCGGGCCUGAGAGGAGAAUCCUGGCUUCCCGCACUGCUUGCCGGGCUCUCACCACCCCCUCUUUUCCAUCCCGGAGCGGGAAGCAGGGCUGACCUGGAGGAACCUGCUCUGUUCUCUUCCACGACGCAGCACCGUCCCAGCCCGCAUGGGUUAGCCUGGAAGCUAGUCGCAAAAUGGCAUCAAGAGGGGAUGCCCUCUUCUCGCCAUGUUAGCAAUGCAGGAGCUGGCAAGGGAGCCUGGCUUCCUUCUGAAGCCUUCAGCAUCAGGCACUAUUAGAGAUGAGGCAAUGGCCUGGGUGGCACAUUAGUUUGCCCCACAUUUAUUCUUCUCCCACCAUUAGGUCAGAUGAGAGACAGGGGAAUUUGCAGUGCAGUGCGUGGUGGCUGAGAUGGAAGAAAGAUCCUGAGAAGAUGAUGGAGGUUCCUCUCUCCACUUCUGAAGAUCCUUGACAGCCAUCUGUGCUCCUGAGAGACAGCACUGAAGGAACAACUGAGCUGACGGGCCCAUAUCCCCCACACAGACAAACCACAAACUAUCUCCAAGAGAUGCAAUGGGAAUGGAGCCAGACGAGUACAAAUGGCAUCAAUUCACCCCGAGAGAAGCCGGGACUGACGUCUCCACUGCCUGAUCCAUGUGAAGAGGAACUGCAGGCCAGCAGCCAGAGGGAUGCGCCUGGCCAUGGGUGUGCAAGAGUCCUGCUCCAUCAGAAACAAUCCCCAUCUGCCAGAGCUCGAGGCAGGGAGGCAGCAAGUUCCCAGCUCCUGCCUUUAAAGAAAUAGGCCCCAUUUCUUCCAGAAGCAGCAGCUUAGCCUGGCUGUUAAACUGGAAAGGGCUCAAAUUCCUUCUCUGCUGUGUUACCCAAAUGGCCUUCCAGCAGCCCUGGACAUGAAAGGAAACUCCCAGAGCCUGGAGGGCACUUACUCCUGUGCAACACCACUGCCAAAGCAAAGCAGUGGCUUCUUAAGCUCACUUCCCUCUGGUGGAAAAGGUGACCCAAGAUGCAAGGCAAGGCUGGAGACACGGUAGCUAUAUGGCUUGGUAGAGAGGUGGGGUCCAGAGCCCACCACUGCUGGGAAGAGGCUGAGGGGCAGAAGACAGUGAAGGACAUUGAUAUGGAAGCAAGGCCCCCUUACAAGUUAGGGUGGAAUGAAAGGUUAAGCCUAGAGCGAUGUCCUUGGAAGGAAGAAGGUCCCACACCAAGAGCUGCUAGAAUAUUUUAUUGUUUACAGUCAGUUCAUGUUUUCCUACGGUCUGGGAGAGCCACCGCUCUCGGGGGCAGUGGAGCUGGGGCUGCUGCUGCUGCUUUAGAGAAGUGUUUGAACAUAUGCACUAAAGUGAUGCCAACUGUACAGCACAACUCCCUUCACCCCGCUCCCUCCCCUGCCAUGUGACAUCUCCCAAGCUACCACCUCCCUGAUAGGCACUGGCAUGGAGGCUAUAUAGUCAGCACAGCUGGCACUUGGAGCUUAACCCAAGCAAUCUCCUAGAUUUGGGGGCUUCCGUGGGUUAAUGACUGCCUGCAAAUGCAGGGAAGGGGACUUCAUGGCCCAGAAAGCCCUAUCCAGUCCUGUAUUCAUCUCCCAGGCACAUAAUCCCAGCCCUCUGCAUGCAUAGCCCACACAGUACAGCAGUCCUGGCAGGAGAG